AUAGUUAACUAUCUGUUUUUAAAGAAAAGCAGUCCGGUCUCGAAAACCGGAGUAGGGGCAACUCUACCGGGGGUUCAAAUCCCCCUCUCUCCGCCA
rnacentral:tRNA from 1 species